rnacentral:rRNA from 1 species
GACGAACGCUGGCGGCGUGCUUAACACAUGCAAGUCGAACGGAAAGGCCCUGCUUUUGUGGGGUGCUCGAGUGGCGAACGGGUGAGUAACACGUGAGUAACCUGCCCUUGACUUUGGGAUAACUUCAGGAAACUGGGGCAAAUACCGGAUAGGAGCUCCUGCUGCAUGGUGGGGGUUGGAAAGUUUCGGCGGUUGGGGAUGGACUCGCGGCUUAUCAGCUUGUUGGUGGGGUAGUGGCUUACCAAGGCUUUGACGGGUAGCCGGCCUGAGAGGGUGACCGGCCACAUUGGGACUGAGAUACGGCCCAGACUCCUACGGGAGGCAGCAGUGGGGAAUAUUGCACAAUGGGCGGAAGCCUGAUGCAGCAACGCCGCGUGCGGGAUGACGGCCUUCGGGUUGUAAACCGCUUUCGCCUGUGACGAAGCGUGAGUGACGGUAAUGGGUAAAGAAGCACCGGCUAACUACGUGCCAGCAGCCGCGGUGAUACGUAGGGUGCGAGCGUUGUCCGGAUUUAUUGGGCGUAAAGGGCUCGUAGGUGGUUGAUCGCGUCGGAAGUGUAAUCUUGGGGCUUAACCCUGAGCGUGCUUUCGAUACGGGUUGACUUGAGGAAGGUAGGGGAGAAUGGAAUUCCUGGUGGAGCGGUGGAAUGCGCAGAUAUCAGGAGGAACACCAGUGGCGAAGGCGGUUCUCUGGGCCUUUCCUGACGCUGAGGAGCGAAAGCGUGGGGAGCGAACAGGCUUAGAUACCCUGGUAGUCCACGCUGUAAACGGUGGGUACUAGGUGUGGGGUCCAUUCCACGGGUUCCGUGCCGUAGCUAACGCUUUAAGUACCCCGCCUGGGGAGUACGGCCGCAAGGCUAAAACUCAAAGGAAUUGACGGGGCCCCGCACAAGCGGCGGAGCAUGCGGAUUAAUUCGAUGCAACGCGUAGAACCUUACCUGGGUUUGACAUGGAUCGGGAGCGCUCAGAGAUGGGUGUGCCUCUUUUGGGGUCGGUUCACAGGUGGUGCAUGGCUGUCGUCAGCUCGUGUCGUGAGAUGUUGGGUUAAGUCCCGCAACGAGCGCAACCCUUGUUCACUGUUGCCAGCACGUUAUGGUGGGGACUCAGUGGAGACCGCCGGGGUCAACUCGGAGGAGGGUGGGGAUGACGUCAAGUCAUCAUGCCCCUUAUGUCCAGGGCUUCACGCAUGCUACAAUGGCUGGUACAGAGAGUGGCGAGCCUGUGAGGGUGAGCGAAUCUCGGAAAGCCGGUCUCAGUUCGGAUUGGGGUCUGCAACUCGACCUCAUGAAGUCGGAGUCGCUAGUAAUCGCAGAUCAGCAACGCUGCGGUGAAUAUGUUCCCGGG